GCAGCCGCGGUAAUACGUAGGGGGCAAGCGUUAUCCGGAUUUACUGGGUGUAAAGGGAGCGUAGACGGGAAUGCAAGUCUGAUGUGAAAGGCAGGGGCUCAACUCCUGGACUGCAUUGGAAACUGUAUUUCUUGAGUGCCGGAGAGGUAAGCGGAAUUCCUAGUGUAGCGGUGAAAUGCGUAGAUAUUAGGAGGAACACCAGUGGCGAAGGCGGCUUACUGGACGGUAACUGACGUUGAGGCUCGAAAGCGUGGGGAGCAAACAGGAUUAGAUACCCC
rnacentral:rRNA from 1 species